rnacentral:rRNA from 1 species
AGUCGUAACAAGGUUUCCGUAGGUGAACCUGCGGAAGGAUCAUUAUCGGUUGGUCUGACUUCGCGUUGGAUAAACUGGUUAAAACCUCGGGACUCGGCCGGCUAACGCUGGCCUGUUCUAGUGGCUGGGGCCUGCCUGCCCUUGCCUGCCACGUCUUGUGCUGGGUGACUGAUAGUUUGUCGGUCCGCUUGUGCCUUGACGGCCCGAUGCGGAGGUACUGUAGCCCGUCGAUCCGGAAUGAGAAUUCCAGGAGGGCAUAGCCUCGGUGAACAGUUCAAAGAGCUCUCGCCUUCCGUCGGGUUUUCGAUCUCCCCCUUGUAGGGAUGUGCAGCUGUUAUUUGAUUGAGUUUUACGACUCGCUCGAACUCUACGUUUGAGAAUCCAAAUACAACACUAUACAGUGGAUCAUUUGGCUCGGGGGUCGAUGAAGAACGGAGCUAACUCUGUGAUGCCGUGUGAACUGCAGGACACAUGAACAUCGACACUUUGAACGGAUAUUGCGGAAAUAAGCUUGUCUUGUUUCCAUAUCUGACUCAGGGUCGGUUAAACAUCCAUCGGACGGCUUGCUGUUCGCAUUGGGCGGUCGUUAUGCCUCGGCACAGCGUCGCUCCAAGGUACGCCGUACGGAGUUCACAGACUCGACUCUUGGGAACUUGUGUCCUGGGUCGUGGAAGUGGCCGUAUGCGCUUGGUGCCGGGACUCGACUGACUGUCUCGUAAGCGCCUACAAACUUUACUUUUCGACUGGAGAUAGAUAAGAUUACCCGCCGAAUUUAAGCAUAUCAAUA